rnacentral:rRNA from 1 species
GUUUUGAUUUGAAAGGCGCUUUCGGGUGUCGCUGAUGGAUGGACCCGCGGUGCAUUAGCUAGUUGGUGAGGUAACGGCUCACCAAGGCCACGAUGCAUAGCCGACCUGAGAGGGUGAUCGGCCACAUUGGGACUGAGACACGGCCCAAACUCCUACGGGAGGCAGCAGUAGGGAAUCUUCGGCAAUGGACGAAAGUCUGACCGAGCAACGCCGCGUGAGUGAAGAAGGUUUUCGGAUCGUAAAACUCUGUUGUUAGAGAAGAACAAGGAUGAGAGUAACUGUUCAUCCCUUGACGGUAUCUAACCAGAAAGCCACGGCUAACUACGUGCCAGCAGCCGCGGUAAUACGUAGGUGGCAAGCGUUGUCCGGAUUUAUUGGGCGUAAAGCGAGCGCAGGCGGUUUCUUAAGUCUGAUGUGAAAGCCCCCGGCUCAACCGGGGAGGGUCAUUGGAAACUGGGAGACUUGAGUGCAGAAGAGGAGAGUGGAAUUCCAUGUGUAGCGGUGAAAUGCGUAGAUAUAUGGAGGAACACCAGUGGCGAAGGCGGCUCUCUGGUCUGUAACUGACGCUGAGGCUCGAAAGCGUGGGGAGCAAACAGGAUUAGAUACCCUGGUAGUCCACGCCGUAAACGAUGAGUGCUAAGUGUUGGAGGGUUUCCGCCCUUCAGUGCUGCAGCUAACGCAUUAAGCACUCCGCCUGGGGAGUACGACCGCAAGGUUGAAACUCAAAGGAAUUGACGGGGGCCCGCACAAGCGGUGGAGCAUGUGGUUUAAUUCGAAGCAACGCGAAGAACCUUACCAGGUCUUGACAUCCUUUGACCACUCUAGAGAUAGAGCUUCCCCUUCGGGGGCAAAGUGACAGGUGGUGCAUGGUUGUCGUCAGCUCGUGUCGUGAGAUGUUGGGUUAAGUCCCGCAACGAGCGCAACCCUUAUUGUUAGUUGCCAUCAUUCAGUUGGGCACUCUAGCAAGACUGCCGGUGACAAACCGGAGGAAGGUGGGGAUGACGUCAAAUCAUCAUGCCCCUUAUGACCUGGGCUACACACGUGCUACAAUGGGAAGUACAACGAGUUGCGAAGUCGCGAGGCUAAGCUAAUCUCUUAAAGCUUCUCUCAGUUCGGAUUGCAGGCUGCAACUCGCCUGCAUGAAGCCGGAAUCGCUAGUAAUCGCGGAUCAGCACGCCGCGGUGAAUACGUUCCCGGGCCUUGUACACACCGCCCGUCACACCACGAGAGUUUGUAACACCCG